ensembl:processed_transcript
CGCCUCUGCUUCCGCUUCCGCCUCUGAUGCCUCUGCUGCUGCUGCGGCUGCAGCGGCAGCUGCUUCUGCUGUGGCCUCCUCCAACGCUACUGUUAAUGCUGUGGUCGCUGCUGCUGUCACUGCUGCUCUCGCAGCGGUUACUGCUAUUGCUGACCACAAAGGCAAUGAACCAACUCCUCAAAGGCACAGUGGGGCUACUAAUGACAAGGAUUUCGCACUUAAGGCAAAAAAAGAACAUGAUAAGAGAGAACCUGCCACGCAUUUGAUGGAAAUGGGAGAUUCCAUGGCAACGUUUGAGAAGUGUGCUGCAGACACGAGUGCUGUGUUACUGUUGAAGCAGAGCUGUGCUCGCCAACUCCAUCGGGACGGACAAAGGUAACAGGGAGAUGCUUUGUUCCCUGUAAAGGAGUAUUAACAGUGAGUACUUCUUAUGGAAAUAAAACAGCUGACUAUAGUAGUCACUCAAAGCAGAGGGACACUCAGCUGUACCUACACUGCUGGAGAGCUGAGAGAGAUUGGGACUGACUCACACGUACUCUUCAUGGAAGCCCAACAGCUCAGAGAGUGUUUACUCA